GACGAACGCUGGCGGCGUGCUUAACACAUGCAAGUCGAACGGAAAGGCCCUGCUUUUGUGGGGUGCUCGAGUGGCGAACGGGUGAGUAACACGUGAGUAACCUGCCCUUGACUUUGGGAUAACUUCAGGAAACUGGGGCUAAUACCGGAUAGGAGCUCCUGCUGCAUGGUGGGGGUUGGAAAGUUUCGGCGGUUGGGGAUGGACUCGCGGCUUAUCAGCUUGUUGGUGGGGUAGUGGCUUACCAAGGCUUUGACGGGUAGCCGGCCUGAGAGGGUGACCGGCCACAUUGGGACUGAGAGACGGCCCAGACUCCUACGGGAGGCAGCAGUGGGGAAUCUUGCACAAUGGGCGGGAGCCUGAUGCAGCAACGCCGCGUGCGGGAUGACGGCCUUCGGGUUGUAAACCGCUUUCGCCUGUGACGAAGCGUGAGUGACGGUAAUGGGUAAAGAAGCACCGGCUAACUACGUG
rnacentral:rRNA from 1 species